rnacentral:hammerhead_ribozyme from 1 species
CCGCGAAACCGCCCGCAAGGGCGGUCUGCCGGGCGUGGCGGCCCGGUACUGAUGAGCAGCCGCAG